GCCCUGAUCGCUUAGUUGGUUAAAGCGAAGGUCUCAUAUUACGUAAUAUAUGAGUCUUGAUUAGGACGCAAUCCUUAGCCCCCAGUUCGAGUCUGGGUCGGGGCA